rnacentral:rRNA from 3 species
UGGGGGAUAUUGCACAAUGGGGGAAACCCUGAUGCAGCGACGCCGCGUGGAGGAAGAAGGUUUUCGGAUUGUAAACUCCUGUCGUUAGGGACGAUAAUGACGGUACCUAACAAGAAAGCACCGGCUAACUACGUGCCAGCAGCCGCGGUAAAACGUAGGGUGCAAGCGUUGUCCGGAAUUACUGGGUGUAAAGGGAGCGCAGGCGGACCGGCAAGUUGGAAGUGAAAACUAUGGGCUCAACCCAUAAAUUGCUUUCAAAACUGCUGGCCUUGAGUAGUGCAGAGGUAGGUGGAAUUCCCGGUGUAGCGGUGGAAUGCGUAGAUAUCGGGAGGAACACCAGUGGCGAAGGCGACCUACUGGGCACCAACUGACGCUGAGGCUCGAAAGCAUGGGUAGCAAACAGG